CCUGAGUACGACGGAGCACGUGAAAUUCCGUCGGAAUCUGGGAGGACCAUCUCCUAAGGCUAAAUACUCUCUAGUGACCGAUAGUGAACCAGUACCGUGAGGGAAAGGUGAAAAGUACCCCGGAAGGGGAGUGAAAGAGAACUUGAAACCGUGUGCUUACAAGUAGUCAGAGCCCGUUAAUGGGUGAUGGCGUGCCUUUUGUAGAAUGAACCGGCGAGUUACGAUCUGAUGCAAGGUUAAGCAGAAAAUGUGGAGCCGUAGCGAAAGCGAGUCUGAAUAGGGCGAAUGAGUAUUUGGUCGUAGACCCGAAACCAGGUGAUCUACCCUUGGUCAGGUUGAAGUUCAGGUAACACUGAAUGGAGGACCGAACCGACUUACGUUGAAAAGUGAGCGGAUGAACUGAGGGUAGCGGAGAAAUUCCAAUCGAACUUGGAGAUAGCUGGUUCUCUCCGAAAUAGCUUUAGGGCUAGCCUCAAGUGAUGAUUAUUGGAGGUAGAGCACUGUUUGGACGAGGGGCCCCUCUCGGGUUACCGAAUUCAGACAAACUCCGAAUGCCAAAUAAUUUAACUUGGGAGUCAGAAUGUGGGUGAUAAGGUCC
rnacentral:rRNA from 1 species